AUGGACAAUUGUAUCUCCUUCCCAGCACCAAAGCCCCAGGAGAGAAUCUCAUUGGGUGAGUUUACUCACGUGACCGUCUCUGGACCAAUCACUGUAGCAGAACCUGCGCACCUUGGAGGCAGGAGGCCUGGGCCACUCCCCAACCUCCUGGAUCCCAGGGGAGGAUGUUCUCCAGCAGGAAGUGGGGGGAGGGGCGACAGUGUCCCCUUCCACUGGCAAGCCAGCUCACCUGGCAGGUCAGUGACCGCAGGACGAGGCGCCCCCGCCCCGGACUCACGCUCCUCCUCUGCAAAAUGGGCUGCAGGCUGUUUAAAUUCCAGCAUUCCAGAAUUCUGGGACAGCUUCCAAAGCUGGAGGCUGCUCUUAAAUCCCAGGAACGUUCCGGUACUUCUGGGGACGGAAGUGGAGAGUCAGCCAGAGCCUUUCCCGGCCCCGGCCUGGGAACCUGCUUACAAGAUGACAAUUGGGUCCCUUUGGCCGAAAUUCCACUCCCGUGGGGGCCUUGCCAAGGAAAACAAGCCCAAGGACCGGGCACUAAAGGCAAAGCACAGAGUAUGCUAGCAGAGGCCAGACAGCCCGUCAACACACAUUAGACCCACGUCGCCGUGACGGCCACUCUGCCAAGACAGCUGCGCGACUGUCCCAUCUCAUGGAUGAGGAAACUGAGGCACGGGCUGACCAGGCAUGCCUGGCCCUGAAGACCUGCAGCCAGAUGCGUGGCCCCCACAUGCACAGGGGACUGCACAGAGGUCCUCGCCUGGUGACUUUACAGAGCAGAAAAGCCAAGGCCCAGAGACAGCAUGUGACCUACCCAAGGUCACACGGCAGGCACAUGGAGGCACAGGCCCAGCCUCACCCCUGGACCAGCCAUUGAGUAGAGAGUCCACUGAGGGGAGUCCCAGCCCGCCAGGGGCACAGGCCUCCCUCCCCGACCCUCAGUUUUCUACCUCUGGCUCACCUGCACUUACAGCUAGAGAGGCCCAAGAAAAGCUAGCCAGACCAUGUCCCUCCCCUGCUCAGAACCUUCCGUGUCCCCUACCUCCUAUGAAACAAAAGCUAAAAUCCUUGUAACAGCACAAGGUCCUGCACAGUCAUCUCCACACCCCUGCCUCUCUUUCCCUCCAUCACUGUGGCCCACCACACCAGCAUCUCCAAAUGCACCCAGACAAGCCUUCCAUGAGUCUGCCACAGGGCCUUUGCACUUGCUGUUCACUCCCUGGAACACUCUCCUACUAUGGUUCCAUCCCUGUAUCUCAUGGCUCAGAUGUCACCUGCUCCCUCAAGCUGUCCCCCGCCCACUUGUUUCGACCCCCUCUCCCUUUUCUGCCUUAUUUCUCUGAAUAGUACCAACCUGUGUAAUAUGCAGCUUAUUUAUCUUGUUUAUUGACUGCUUGAUCUAUGAAAGUGUGACAUUCAUGGGGCAGAGACAUCUGACAAUCUAAAGCAUGCUGGUGCCCAGCACUGACUCACAGGAAAUGUUUAAUAAAUAUCUGUUCAAUCAAUGGAUUUCCUUUUCCUCAGAAAAUCUGGUGAGGGCUUGUCUGGGGCUGGGCUUGUCAUGACCUUUCUUUCCGGACAGAGAAGUAACUUGCUCGGGGUCACCAGCUUUCCAAAUGAGAGGUCAGUCUGGCCCCAGAAUCAGUAAUUUUUGUCUCUGCUCCAGACCUCCACUUACCAAGAAUCAACACAGGCAGCUGCCUGCUGGGGUCUCUGCUUAGAGAGCUCAGAGAGGUUGGGUGACCAGCCCUGGAGACACAGCCUCUCCAGGCAGGAACGCAGGUCUUCAGGGUGUUCUGCCCAGCUCCUCCAGCCCACCCCUCAGCCAGUACCAUGGUAGUCAGGACCCAGGGCCCACUGCUUGUGGCCUGGACAUUCCCCAACCCACCCCACC
ensembl:lincRNA